CAUAGUGGAGUAUGAUCUACACAGGGAGCUUGUGACCGGAGUAUGUAUGGGGGAGGUUUUGGCCCUGGGAAGGUGAGGAACUAGCAUGUAGCACUGUCCGAGGCUGACAGCCCAUCUGAAGAGGAUCUUGAGGCUGUUUCUUUUGUCCUCCAGUUCGCAUCAGUAUAUGUGAAGAUUGUGCUAAACUGGUCUGAAGAGCCUGCAAAAACCAAGCAGAUGGUUUGAUUUGCAGCAGGAAAGAAAAAAGUGGGGAAAAAAGCCAUGGCUCUUGCAGUUUGAGAAGAGGCCCUCCAUUGAAAAUUGAUCUUUCUUAGUAAGUUAUCUCUCAGUACCUAAAUAGUCCUAUAUUUCCUUGCCCAUCUCCUAGAUAUGG
rnacentral:lncRNA from 1 species